AUUCUAUGUAAAUUUUAAAACUGCAAAAAAUUCUUUAAAAAAAGAAAAUAUUUCUUGACUUAUUAUCUUUUUCAUACUUUAAAUAUUUAAUAAAUAUAUGAGUAUGUCACUUUUUCUUUACUUUUACUCAACGUUGUGUAGUAUCAGGUUGCAAAGGUUACAUCGUAUAUUAAAUUUGAAAGAGUAAAUAGGAAAAUGGAUGGCAUGUAAGAAUCCUAUUGGAUCAUUGUUUACAUUAGUCACAAACAGUAUUUUUCACAUAGGUUGUGAAAAUAGAAAUUGUGCUUGAAAGUAUUUAUUUCGCACGAGUAUCUAAACAAAUCUCAACCAAGAAUUUAUCGCAAAAAAUGAUCUCUGUAAUUACACACAUACACAUGUAUACUGUUAUUCGCAACAUGCAUCAAACAUGUAAAUCGACUGUAUCGCUCUGUAGCAUUAGUUCGGUGAUUUUACGUGAUAAUCGAAGAUAGUAUGUACAUGCUUCGUAUUUUUAUUUUCAACUUAAAUUGCAUCUCGUGAUAUUCCGUGCAAACCACUGUACAUAAUACUUUUUUUUUGUAUAUGCAGUUUUAGUUAUAACCUUUCUUUUUCUUUCUGUCUCUUUAAAUGUUCCACUUACAAUUUCAUCUAAAGAUAGCAAAAAUGAUGAGUGAAUCACGUAUUGAUUCAAGUGCCAUCGUACAUCUCGUCAAAUUGUGUUCUUCUCACUAUUUUAACAUGUUAAACAACAAAUUCGUCAUGAUCAUUAUAUCAUUUGUAUCAUAAUAUUUUGAAGAAGACGUUACGGUGGCAAAUAUUGCGUUCUCACAAAUUUUGCGUGUCGCUAUCUUUUGCGCUGGAAACAUUGUCGCGAGCGGAAGUCGCGUUUUUAUUUUUUAUAUCAUACAAAUUUUCAUCAGCAAACGAAAUCGCCACGAUGUAUAGUACAUGUAAUCCAUGGAGAGCAAUAGCGGUCUCUAAUUUCCAAAUAUAAUUUUGAUUUGUAAAAGGUGAUCAAUUUUUCUCUUUCCCUAGAUUAAUUUUUCUAGUUGAAAUUCUGUAACUUAAAAUUAAAAAUGCAAUCUUGCUCGAAAAAUUCGUCAAGUUCUUGCUGAAAAAAAAUGUAUGUUUAAUCAAUUUUGUUUUUACGAAAGAAUAUUUAUAAACAAAAGUAUAUAAAUAUACCAUGUUCACUGAAAUACUAUCGUGUUUGCGAAUUUAUGAGAUGUAGUUAGAUGAUCGAAUAAGUGAUUUGAAUAUUCCGCGUCGAGCUUUGAAACUUCAUUGGUCGAAGCGCUGCAGCUGACUUCAGAUCGUUAAAAAACGCGGAACUAGUCGCGACUGUCGCGAGUCGCCGACUCUAAUAUCAGCAAGUUGCGAUUAAAUUGAUCUUAAUCUUUCGUCUGAUGCACACGACUGAACGCACACGUUUGAAGAAAACAUGCGUUCGAUUGAAGUAUCCGCGGAAAUGCAUGUAUGGACGGUUAAUUCCUAUUCGCGUCAUCUUAACCUUAACCUGACUCGCGUCGUGUCGCGCGGUAAAGUUUCCGACGUGAAGCUGUCGCUGUAAAAACGUCGUAGAACAAAGCCGUGUCACGAAUUCCGUUUAAUCGCCAAAUAAUUGGAUUUAUUUUGCCUGCGCAAUUAGUCCCGCAAUUUAUUGCAUUUCGGUAAUUAGUGCGUGUAAGAUCGAGUGUGUGAAUGCCAUGGAGAAGUAACCGCGAAGAAUUCAUGAGAGGCGAAGUCUAUCUGGGAGGCGUUGAACGACGACGGAAUGACCGUAGGAUGAGCCUGUCCAAGUUUUUGCUCGCGAGCAAAACGUCUUUCCCUCUACGUCAACCUGAGUGAAACGAAGGAUAAACGAAAGCAGAAAGAGAGAGGGAGGGAGGAAGAAAGACAGAGAUGCUGAGGCUCCACCCAACAGGGAUCGCACGUGUACGUCGUAUCAUUCGCUGCGGGCAGUUGUAUCAGAAGUGUUAGCAAUUCCGGAACAAGGUAGGUGGCUCCUCCGCUUGAUAAAGCUAGAGAGAAAUCUAGUUUGUUACAUACCUCGGAUAUCUGCGCUACAUAUUCCAAGGUAGUGCAGCCUUUAUUUUAUUUUAUCUUGCCUUUUUUUUACUAUUAAUUAAUAUAAUUUUUUGCUAUUAAAAUAGCAUAUGUAGCGACGAUACCUUUUCAUGAUUAUCACAAGUUCUCUCUCUCUCUUUUUCUCUCUCUAUCUCUCUCUCUCUGUUUCUCUCACUUCGUCGCACCGCAUCCUUUAAUCUUGCGAUAUAAUACCUACGAAAACGCAACUUGCACCGCGAGAUGCACAUGCUCCCAUAAUACAUACGCGAGAGAGUUGCGUGCCCGCUACAUUACUCCGGCUGAUUCUUUCAAGGCAAUGUGCACGAAUGUUCACACAAGAACCACUAGGAACGUCCCUUAGCUCUCGUCUCGUUCCUUAUUCGCGCACUCGGGAUCGUUAAAUUUUUUACUCGAUUCGGACUCUCGCGGGCUCGCCACGCUCUAGGGACACGCGAGUCGGAUAUCUCCUCAAGAAAAUAUCCUGUGGUGAAAAAGAAAUUCGCCAUUCGCUGAUUUUCGAGCCCGUCGUUCCAUUUCUCGCAGAAGGGCCCUCGAAUUUUACAAGAUGCUGAUACAUUCGUAAAUAAUUUUUCUCGGGAUAUUUAAAGUGAUGCAAUUCUAUUUGUAAAGAUGGCGAUUUUAUCUUUUUUGAUCGUGCGAUUUCUUCUCGCGAAUGAAUUGUCUCGAUAGUCGACAUGCUAAGCAUCAAACUUUUUACACAGAGUAUACGGAAAUCAGAAAUUAAUUUCAAAUUUAACCUCAACUUGAAAAAGAUAUUAGCCUUCCUGUUAUAAAUUUCCUAAAAAAGUUUCUUCUAUAAAAUUGGUUUCGAUCACUGUCACUUUCACUCAUUGUCACGUCGAACGCGCUGUCCCAAAAGUUUUCAGACUUUCGCGGGAAAUUUUUCACGGAGGGGUGAGGGAUUUUUGUAUUACAAUCUUCUCGGGAAUCGCAUGGUACUAGCCGGCAUUUUCAACCCUGAAUGUGCAUAUGUCGCGGCGAAGAGACAGUGGAGAAGGAGACGGAGGAAAAGGGCGUCACGCACUCGUAAUACAUAUACGUGCAUCGUGCGUGCAAUGGCCCGUAAAAGCUGACUGGUUGCUCGGCACCCGAGAGAAGAGGGAUGCAGCCACGCCAGCUAUGUUAAUUAAACGCGUUUCUAGCCCCCGCAUAGAAAACCGAAGAAAAAAGAAGGAGCCGCGGGAGGAGAAGGAGGAGGAGGAGGAAGAAGAAGACGAAUAGAGGCAGGGAGGAGACGGCAGCUAAGGAGCAGAGGAAGAGAGGAGAGUGCCGGGCUAAUAACACGUCCCGUACGACGAACGCACGCCACACGCCCGUCUCUUCUUCUGCUACUUCUUCUCCUUCGCUUCCUUCUACUUCUUCUUCUUCCCCUGCCUCUUGUUCACGCACCGGGGCCGCGUCUUUUUGCCGCGGGGGGAAUCGAGCGACGCCCGAAAGAAUCGAGAGCGUGUAGACCGACGUACGGAGGAACGGAUGGACGGACGGACGGACGACGAGAGCGUCUGAGAAACUUUGUAGGAACUGGAGUGAAGGCAAAUUGGAGUAUUAAUUAUCCCGGCGAGAGCAUGUAUGGGAAGUCGAUUUGCUCGCGCUCUCGCGCGCGACGGACAGAGAUUGCGUCUUGACGUCUUCAAAGGGUUGGAAGCUGCCGGCCGCGGCAGGCUUCCCUCCUUCUCGGCUGGGAGGAGUUCUCUGGCAGGGCGGUCUGCACGAUCUCGUCCACACGACAACAACAACAACAACGACGACGACGACGACGACGACGACGACGACCACGACGACGACGACGUCGACGUCGACGAUGAGCGAGAUAAUCGCGGUGGCCGAUGGAUAGGUAGUUGGGAGCAGAAACUCAAACUGGAAAAAGCAUCAGCCGUUUCUCUCCCCAGCGAGAUACCGACCUUUCUUCCGCCGUAAAGCGGAGCGUGUUAAUUGCGCAUGGUAAUUGCCGAGCGACGGGGCGGCUCGCUCGCUAUGUGUGGGGUAUGUAAGCCCUGAUCGAAAUUAGCAGGCUCUUAACCGAAAGCGCUGGUAACGUAAGUAACGAGACUAGGCGGGGCACCGUAACAGGAUAUCGUGCGAUUUCGCGGGUUACGAGGCAAGCGGAGGAACAGGAAGAUCUCCUCUCCGCGGAGAGCGAAAACUUCGGAGUCUCGUCAAGCUACUCGCUUCAAUUUCGGAAGUCGCUGUUUUUUUCUCUCUCUCUCUCUCUCUCUCUCUCUCUCUCUCUCUCCUCUGUCCUCCUCCUUUGUCCCGAGUCAGGCUUGCGCCGGGGAGAUGACGGGCGUCCGAAUCAUCAAUUUAUUAUAACGAGGCGCGUUCGUAGACAUUUGUCAGAAUAUUAUGCCGCGCUGUGGUCGUCGGCGAUGCGCCACGGCGGUAAUAAUUCUCAACCGGAGGGCAAACGCGAGGACGCGUUCGCAGUAACGGCCUCGUUCGUACGUUCGUUCGUCCGCCGCGAAACAAGUUUUUCGGUAAUUUCGCCGGCCGGCUGUCCGCUCGCUGUCCGUCUUUGCUCGCCGUUCUGACAGCGUCCCGUUGCGGAUAAUCACUUCCUGGGCCUAAUGGCCCGCGGUAGGGAAAAAAGAGCGUCCGAAAAACUCGCCGAUUGUCCGCGAGAAAUUAAUCAAUAUCGCCGCGAAUCGCGAGUACUCCCGCGAUUUGCCAGCGUCAUCGGUUGUCGCGGCUCUCUGACAGAAAAAUUGAUGCCUCUGUAGAGAAUAAAAUGCGGUUUUUCUUUCUGCGAACUGGAUUCUGAGACCAUUUCGACGAUUAGCGUCGAAUAGUUCAUAGUCACUAUAUAGUUCAACGUCUCGGAUGCCAAGUUAACUGCAGCAUUAGGAUAAAAUUGUAGAAAUUUAGUUAUGUUUAUUGAAACUAUCUUAACUUGAAAUCUUUUUGUACUUAACGUUUAGAAUUACAUUGCGAAACUUCUCCUAUUUUUCGCAUCGAGACCGGAUUGUCGAACUUUUCAUUGUCAAUGUCGGAAUUAGAUGGCGAAACUUUUUUUGAUACGAUACUCGUCGAAGUUAGAACUUUCGUUCCGACAUCAAUGUCGGCGUUUUCCCUUCGUAAAGUUGCAUAACGAUUUCCGAAGUUCCCGUGUUCCUCGCACAAAAAAUCGAGAGCGGCUCGAAGGGGCGGUCGAAAGUCGCGACGUCGACAAAUUAGCCGGCGAAGGGCUGCCGGUCAUAAGAGGUACCAAGGGGUCGCGGGGACGUCUGUCGUCGUCGUCGUUGACGUCGUUUCAGGGAAACGCACGUGGAUCAGGAGGGCCGGGAAAGGAAACGACAGAGUGCAUAUGUCCGACGAGAAUACUUAAUCAUCCGGGGAAUUUUUCCGUCGACAACUGAUUACCCGCGCUCGAGCCGAAUGGCUGAUUAACACAUUUUAACGCGCCCUCCCUUCCUCGUGAAAACGAUAUGGUUGAGUCGGAAGCCGUCGUCACUUCCGUGACGAGCCACGUUAUUUUUAUCGUGAGUGUGCGCAGAAAGUCAUAGUUUCUAUGUCGUUGGUACAUAUUUUUUAACUGAAUAACGAAAUCGGGAGAAUUUUUUAAUAGAAAAGUCUCCGCGGAGAUUUUGACGUAAUUCUUCAAUAAUCAAACAGUUUUAAUAACCAAAAUAAGAUUAAUAACACGAAUGUUGUUUCGAUAUAAGUAAUAUUAUUAAUUUGGAAAGUGAAUACAUAACUGAAAGGUGUUUUAUAUGAGAAAAAUAGGCAUACAUUUAAAAUACAAUUUGUGUGUUGAUUUUUAGAUUAAAAGUUGACACAAUGUUUAUUUUAAAAAAUCAAGAUUUAUUCCAUUACUUUGAUAAGAAAACGGUCUUUAGGGAAAUUUAGACGCUUUUUUAUUUCGCACAGUGGUUAAUAUGUGAGAUCGCAGAGUGAUGAUAUCGUGUGUCGCGCGUGGCUGAUCGUUUUUGUUACCCUUUUGCAGCGGACGGUCUUAUUACCGGCGCCAUUAAAUUUCAUGCAAUUAUAAAUAAUAAAUUACAGUAUAUCGACGCUCGCACUGAUAGAUGAGAAUCCGGCAAAACGACGUAUUACAAUCAACGUAUAUUUAUUAUGCCAUAAUUAACCGGAAAUUGUCGUUACGUUAUUAACUAAAUAAUAAUGAUGUAUCGCGCGACAAAUGAAUGAGGUGAAACGACGUCGCGUUAUCACAAUUAUCAUUAUCAUUUCGCAUCGCCUUUCUUUUCCCUUUUUUCCGCCGUGCAACCGGAAGCCCGAUAAACACCGGUAACAACUCAUUCGCAAUUUUACAGGGAAUACUUACAACGUGCCCACCGUAAGCAGAAUUCCGCUUCGGAAUUCGAGAAUCGCUAGCGCGGUGAAAUGAUAAAUCUUCUGAAAUUUUAUGCGCAGAAUUUCCGCCGAAAAUUUAUUCCCUUCGUUAUCGUGGAGUCUCGCGACGGCCUUGAAACGACGAUAUCACAUAUCUUCUCGCGCAACCCGCAGAUAAAUGCCGGUGUCCACACGACGGUGCAAUAAUAAUUCCGCUAA